rnacentral:rRNA from 1 species
UACGUAGGCAGCAAGCGUUGUUCGGAGUUACUGGGCGUAAAGGGUGCGUAGGCGGCCCUGUAAGUAUGGUGUGAAAUCUCCCGGCUCAACUGGGAGGGUGGUCGCGAGACGGCAGGGCUUGAGGCUCGGUGAGGGGCGUGGAAUUCCGGGUGGAGCGGUGAAAUGCGUAGAGAUCCGGAGGAACACCAACGGCGUAGGCAGCGCCCUAGACGAGACCUGACGCUCAGGCACGAAAGCGCGGGGAGCGAACAGG